rfam:Cephalotus follicularis DNA, scaffold: scaffold286, isolate: St1.
AAACCAUGAUGAGGACACUCUAAGAGAAGAUCCUUAAAACGUUCCAUACACCUAGAAAAUGAUUCAUUUGGUUUUUGACGAAACUGCAGAACGUCGUUCCUAAGUUU